CCUACGGGGGGCAGCAGUGGGGAAUAUUGGGCAAUGGAGGAAACUCUUACCCAGCAAUGCCGCGUGAAUGAAGAAGGUCUUCGGAUUGUAAAGUUCUUUAAUUGGGGACGAAAAAAAUGACGGUACCCAAGGAAUAAGCCCCGGCUAACUACGUGCCAGCAGCCGCGGUAAUACGUAGGGGGCAAGCGUUGUUCGGAAUGACUGGGCGUAAAGGGUGUGUAGGCGGUUUAGCAAGUUAGAAGUGAAAUACCUAGAGCUUAACUCAGGUGCUGCUUCUAAAACUGCUAGACUUGAGUGCAGUAGAG
rnacentral:rRNA from 1 species